GAUAGAAAGAGAGAGAGAGAAAUAGAUAGAUACUGUAGAUAAAUAAUACUGAGGACAUGAAUUGCAGAGUCCUAGAGUGGGUAGGUUGGGGAAUCAGUUCAGAGUUGAGGUGAGUGAGGUUAGUCCCACUGGUUCAGGAGCCUGAUGGUUGAGGCUGUUCCUGGCCUGGUGGUGUGGGACCCAAGGCUCCUGUACCUCUUUCUCCAUGGCAACAGUGAGAAGAGAGUAUGGCCUGGAUGGAAUUGGCAAAUCCUGAAGCCCACUCGAGAACGAAGGCUGGAGACGGCCAGUCCUGGGAUUGGAGGCUUUUGCCUAUUUGUGAGGGUGGCUGGGGUGAGUGUGAGGGAGAUCAGUGGCUUGUUUUACAGUGGAAGCUGUAGGAUAGCAGUUUAAUUCCCACUGCUGUCUGUAAGGAGUUCGUACGUUCUCCCCGUGACCAUGUGGGUUUCCACCGGGUGCUCCGGUUUCCUCCCACAUUCCAAGGACGUACCGGCUAGGGUGAGUGAGUUUGGACCUACUGUGAAGCUUGCAGACCCCAGUACAACCCUCGCUGAUUUGAUUUGACACAAGCGAUGCAUUUCACUGCAUGACGAAUAAAAUUGAUCUUAAAUGUUUCUUUGUUUUGUUGUUGUUGUUUUUGUAGUUGCUGUGCUGCUGAACACAGUAAAUCCGUGUCGGAAUGUGUGUCAACGCUUGCUGGCUCAUCCUUAGGCUAUGUUGGUUGCUGAUGCCGGCGACUUUUACGCGGUUCCGGCUGUUUUCCGAUGUGUAACCCAUCCCCGCGUCACGCGUGUUGUGUGACCUCUGCGCUUCGGAGUAAGGUUCACGGUAAACGUGUUUCUGGUUAAAUGACAAUGGAUUCAGCGCUGUGCCUAACCAAUCAAUUAGUAAUCAAAUGACCAACUAAACUAAAUCCCCUCUGCCUGCACAAUGCCCAUAUCCUUCUGUUUUUCUCACAUUCAUGCGCGUCUCCUAAAACUCCCAAGUGUUCCUGCGUCUAUCCCGCAUCCACUCUGCGUAAAGAACCUCCCUCAUAACUCCUUUGAAAUCACCCCCUCUCACCUCAAUGCCCUCUGGCAGACAUCUCAACCCUGGGAAAAGGACACUGUCUACUCUAUCCAUGUCUCUGAUAAUCUUUUAAGCUCCUCUCAGAUUUCCCUCCUCCUCCUCCGCGGCUCCAGCGAAAACAACCCAAGUUUGUCCGACCUCCUGUUACAGCCCAUGCCCUCUGAUCCAGUUCGAAUCGGAAUGGAAACGUGAGGCUGACUCUGAGCGCAGAUAAUUUCAUUGCAGAGUAGAAUGAGGUGAAACGGUAACAGAAGGAAGUUUCAGCUAAAGUGCAGUGCCGCCAGACGCCGAGCUGCAGUGAGGUCGACUUCUGGUUCGGACGCAGCGACGAGAACAGGGCCAAACAAAACAAAUUCUCUUUCUAAGCACAUUGCUUAUGAUCGCAAGACCUCCUGGACACUAAGAACUAAAAGCAUUGCGGGCUCAUCCCACCGCUGAGUCGCUCGUCAGCGGAGAGGAGCUGGACCUGGUGCGGACUGCGCCGCGGGCUGCAUCAGGCUGGCAACGUGGACGUGAGACAUGCAAGAUGGGAUGAUGGACCAGCAGACCAGUGUGGGCGAAUGCGGCUCUGCAAGUUGUUGGCAAGUUCUGGAGUUGGAGUUCCAUGUGGUCAGUGGGAACAAGAUGCUGCCUGCCUGACCUGCUGAGAUCCGUCAGCAUUUCAAACAUCCCAGUGACAACGGUGUGACGGUGGUUGGGCGCAUUACCAGAAACGAGCAGAUGGUUUACAGAGAGGAGGUGGAAGAGCUGGAGGCCGGGGGCUGGGCAAAUGGCAACAAGACAAAGGAGAUGGUUGUUGACUUUGAGAGAACUCGCACCCACUUUACAUCGUCGGCAAAGCAGUGGAAACUACAAGCAGCUUCAAACUCUUGGCAGACCGGAGUAACCAUGAUUGUCAUUCUCCUUUACCCUGGUGUGCUGGAAACCACCUUCAUGCCUUGGAUCUGAUGUAAGAUACCAGUCAGUUCGGAUUGCCGUCCACGAUCUCCGUCUUCACCUGAGCUCAGCCCCCGCUCUAUCACUUUACCCCAGUGACCAAGCACAGCUCCAAUGCCGUGUCCAAGUUUGUUGACGACACCACAGUCGUUGGCUGAAUCGAAGGUGGUGAUGAAUCAGGCUGAGUGGUGUCAGAACAACCUCUCUCAAUGUCAGCAGGGGCCAAGGAGCUGAUUAUUGACUUCAGCAGAAGGAAACCAGCGAUGCGAGGUGGAGAGGGUCGGCAGCUUUAAAUUCCUCAGUGUUGUCACUUCAGACGACCCACGUAAGAAAGCACGGCAACACCUCUACUUCCUCAGGAGUUUGUGAAGGUUCGGAUUGCCAUCUAAAACUUUGCCGAUGUGUGCUGGAGAGUGUCCUGACCGGUCUGUCAGGGAAGCACCAACACCCUUGAAUGGAAAUUCCCAUAAAAGGAAUGGCUAUGACCCUUCCCUCAUCCCCCUCCACCACCAAUCCACCUACCCUCAUCUCCCUUCCCUCACCCAACUUCCCUCAUCCC